rnacentral:rRNA from 1 species
AACGCGAAGAACCUUACCUACUCUUGACAUCCAGAGAAUUUAGCAGAGAUGCUUUGGUGCCUUCGGGAACUGUGAGACAGGUGCUGCAUGGCUGUCGUCAGCUCGUGUUGUGAAAUGUUGGGUUAAGUCCCGCAACGAGCGCAACCCUUAUCCUUUGUUGCCAGCGAUUCGGUCGGGAACUCAAAGGAGACUGCCGGUGAUAAACCGGAGGAAGGUGGGGAUGACGUCAAGUCAUCAUGGCCCUUACGAGUAGGGCUACACACGUGCUACAAUGGCGCAUACAAAGAGAAGCGACCUCGCGAGAGCAAGCGGACCUCAUAAAGUGCGUCGUAGUCCGGAUCGGAGUCUGCAACUCGACUCCGUGAAGUCGGAAUCGCUAGUAAUCGUGGAUCAGAAUGCCACGGUGAAUACGUUCCCGGGUCUUGUACACACCG